AUGCAGGGUGUUCGGACCUAAUUGAAGACUGAACCCUCUCGCCCCGCCCCUAGCACGGUUCAUGCCUAAUGACGUCACCAACGUUCGUUGUUCUCGCUCCUUUACCUGGGUCCUUUGUCCUCAAACAGGACUUUCCGGCCAUUUUAUCUAGUUCAGACUAAAGAAUUUCUUUAACAAUGCACAUUUGUCACUUGGGACAUAUUUAGAGAGACAGCAGCUCUUUAGUGAGCCAAGCUAUCACAAAUGUUGAUGUAGGGUGCAUGUGAGAUCUGCUUCCCUUGCUUUUAUUUCCUGCUGUAAAGAACUAAACACUGGAGAAAACAGCACCAUUUUCUUCCACUAUUUCGACUUCAGGACAAGCCUGAUUGCAAAGUCUUGCUUCCGCAAGCAGAAAUAAAAGUCUUGAAGACUAAUAAGACUUCCAUCAACAAUUCUCACCAGCUGUGCCACCAUUUUCCUUGAUGGUUAAGCUGCAAGUGACAUCUGAGCAUCUACGCAGCUUUUCAAGAAAUCGCUGACUCUGGGAAGAAAGAACAUUCUGUUGUGGGGUGUUCACCAGAAAAGACUUCUCAGACAUGGGUUUUAGCCAAAUAGAAAGUCCUUCUUAGCCAGCCAGUGACUACACUGUGUGUUCCAGAUCACUGGUGAGGCCCUGAGCCUUUCUCUGGGUUAGCUUUUAAGCACAAAAAUCAUGUGAGAUACUUCAAUUGACAAGAACAGUUAGCUAGAAGCAGAACUACAGAAGCCAGAAAACAAGGGUGAUACAUUUAGGGACUCCCAAAACUAUGGACUUUGAUGGAUUGAGGUUUUGUUUUAGUUUUGACAGGUAGUGCCACCUAUUACAGCCGGAAUGGCAUUUCAAUCAUGAAGUCAGUUGUGCUAAGGUCUCAGGGCCUGUUACAUACCAAAAUCACCUUCCACAGUACCAAAGGAUGUGUCCGUGUGAACAAAGCUCACCUGACAGGCGAUUGUGGGAUUCCAGAACAAAAGUGUGUAAAGAAUUCAUGUUUCUAUUUCAUUCUUCCUAUUUUCCAGAUGUUAUUCUUCUGACAGGAAAGAAAGGCUGUGUAAAAGGCUCCCUUUCUGAACUCCAGUAAUUGCUUUUAGUAAUCAUGAAACCAUCGUGAAUUCUAUGAAUGUUUCUUCUCUAAAAUUGUUAUAAUACCUUUUUUAUUCAUAAGUGUAAAACGUGGUAAUAGUCAAAAUGGUUUGUAUUCCUAACUUUAGGUCUUUUCACUUAUUAAUGAAAGCUAAUUUACAAAUAGCAAUUGAUGAUCUUGGACCUGUCAAGAAACUAGAGGAUCUCAAAAAAAAAAAAAAAAAAAAAGUACUGUUUUCUCUUUGAAAUGAACAGUAUGUAUCUUGAAAAGUGCUGUGGCACCAAGUUAUAAGAAUCAACGAAAGUAGAACGUGGGAGGGUGGCUUUGUUACACCAGAGGGUCUGCAAGUAAUGAAUUUGUGAAUGACGAGCAUUAAUAGGGAAGCAGUUUACAAUACCGAAAUAACUCAGUCCCAAUUUUUUCUAAAUCUGACCCUAUGGUCCCGAAUAAUCCAUAGACUCUCCUGGUGUGGACUGCAUUGCCUUCUAUAAUGUGGAGCGCCCAGCAGACAGUUCCUUUCGCUUCCUAAAUGUUGUGGCCAGGAACUGUUCCUGUGACCACGUGGCCUAAUGGAUAAGGCGUCUGACUUCGGAUCAGAAGAUUGAGGGUUCGAAUCCCUUCGUGGUUAGCAACACUUUUUUCUUCCUUCCCUCUGAUUUCUGUAAGUUAAAUUGUGACGUACGGUCAAAAAAUAAAAGAAAACUUCAUUUCCCGGG